UACGUAGGGUGCGAGCGUUUGUCCGGAAUUAUUGGGCGUAAAGGGCUCGUAGGCGGUCUGUCGCGUCGGGAGUGAAAACUCAGGGCUUAACCCUGAGCCUGCUUCCGAUACGGGCAGACUAGAGGUAUGCAGGGGAGAACGGAAUUCCCGGUGUAGCGGUGGAAUGCGUAGAGAUCGGGAAGAACAUCAGUGGCGAAGGCGGCCUGCUGGGCUGUUGCUGACGCUGAGGCGGCGACAGCGUGGGGAGCAAACAGG
rnacentral:rRNA from 1 species